rnacentral:lncRNA from 1 species
UUCACAAAUAUUGCACCGUAGGGUAACAAUUUCCUCAUUAGUUGUGUAUUUUCCAUUUCAUCGAUAAUAAAAUUAUAUUUUCCCAUGACUAAUGGAAAAAUGUUUUAUCGCAUAAUGUCAAACAACAUACAAACAUAUGACUAGAAAUAAAAUACUAUCAAAUCAAGAACCUAACCAUAAAACAUCGAUUCACAUCUAAGAACUAUUUUAGAGAAACAAAUGUAAUCACAAUGUGUGUAUAUAAUAUAUAAUGGGUGGUGCUAUUCACACACCUCAUUUUACCUUCCUCACACACUUCUCAAUUUUCGACUCUUGGAUCAAAUGAAUUAAAGAAGAUAAAAUGACACAAAUUAACAUAUGGGUGUGAGAGCUAAAAAGAAAUGUGUGGAUAGAAG